AAGUCGUAACAAGGUUUCCGUAGGUGAACCUGCGGAAGGAUCAUUAACGAGUUAGGGUCCUCUGGGCCCAAUCUCCAACCCUUGCUUAUUCUAACCACGUUGCUUUGGCGGACCCGUCCCCCAGCGGACCGCCCGGAACCCCCGGGCCCGCGUUCGUCAGGAGCCCCAGUAAACUCGGUCACAGUGACGUCUAAGUACGAAUGUCGAAGAAUGAUUAAAACUUUCAACAACGGAUCUCUUGGUUCUGGCAUCGAUGAAGAACGCAGCGAAAUGCGAUAAGUAAUGCGAAUUGCAGAAUUCCGUGAGUCAUCGAAUCUUUGAACGCACAUUGCGCCCUCUGGUAUUCUGGAGGGCAUGCCUGUUCGAGCGUCAUUAUCAACCUUCAAGCUUGGCUUGUCUUUGGGCCACGUCGUCGAGGAGGCGGCGGGCCCGAAACAGAAUGGCCGGGUCCGGAAGACCCCGGGUGCAGCGAGCUUGUUGGCACGCAUCCAGAGGGUUUCCGGCUCGGUCUCCAUCAAAUUUCUUCUGGUUGACCUCGGAUCAGGUAGGGAUACCCGCUGAACUUAAGCAUAUCAAUAAGCGGAGGAAAAGAAACCAACAGGGAUUGCCUCAGUAACGGCGAGUGAAGCGGCAACAGCUCAAAUUUGAAAUCUGGCCCCGUCGGGGUCCGAGUUGUAAUUUGUAGAGGAUGCUUCGGGCAAGGCCGUGAUCUAAUUCGCUUGGAACAGCGGGUCACAGAGGGUGAGAAUCCCGUCUAGGAUCGUGCGCCGCGUCCGUGUGAAGCUCCUUCGACGAGUCGAGUUGUUUGGGAAUGCAGCUCUAAAUGGGUGGUAAAUUUCAUCUAAAGCUAAAUAUGGGCCAGAGACCGAUAGCGCACAAGUAGAGUGAUCGAAAGAUGAAAAGCACUUUGAAAAGAGAGUUAAACAGUAUGUGAAAUUGUUGAAAGGGAAGCGCUUGCAACCAGACUUGUGACUGGCGGUUCCCCCGGUCUUUUGGCCGGGCUACUCCGUCACGUCCAGGCCAACAUCGGUUGGGGUGGUCGGCGAAAGAUCCCGGGAACGUAUCAACCUUCGGGUUGACUUAUAGCCCGGGGUGCAAUGCGGCCUACCCGGACCGAGGAACGCGCUCCGGCUCGGAUGUUGGCGUAAUGGUUGCAAGCGGCC
rnacentral:rRNA from 1 species